rnacentral:rRNA from 1 species
UACGAAGGGGGCUAGCGUUGUUCAGAAUUACUGGGCGUAAAGCGCACGUAGGCGGACAUUUAAGUUGGAGGUGAAAGCCUUGGGCUCAACCCAAGAAUUGCCUUUGAUACUGGAUGUCUCGAGACCGGGAGAGGUGAGUGGAAUUCCGAGUGUAGAGGUGAAAUUCGUAGAUAUUCGGAAGAACACCAGUGGCGAAGGCGGCUCACUGGCCCGGUUCUGACGCUGAGGAGCGAAAGCGUGGGAGCGAACAGG